AUGGGGACAGGGCGCGGAGCCGCUCAGCCGUGCAGUGUAGCCAUCCCCCGUGGCGUGGGUGUUGGCCCUGCUCCCUGGGUUCCCACACAGUUACUUGCAGAUUUCUUCUUGCAUUUGGACUCCACUCACCAUCACUCCGUGGAUAUUAUCUGGGUGCCUCCCCUGCAAGCUCAGAUCACCCAGGGAGACCAGUCCCCUUCCAUCUGUGAGGACAACAGUGUGGCGAGAUUCAGUUGCCCCCAGGCUUGCAUUAUGCCAGGUGGAACCCGGGCGGCUGCUGUGAUUCGGCUGCGUGAAACCCAUAUUCUGAGCGGACUAAGCAGACAGAGCCUACUCCGAGUUAUUGGUGUGCAAAGGGAAGAAAUCGUACCUUUCAUCCGCGUUCAGAGAGCAAUGAGGACUGGAACCGCCUGGGGUGAAAGGCCGGGUGGCUGUGGCAGACAGAGCCAGGCUCUGCAGAGCGUGACGCAUCAACAACCUUGUGCUCUGCUGACAGCCCAGUGAAGGCCCCUGAAGCCAGCUGGGCACUGGACUCUGCGGGCAUCCAGGUAAGAGGUGGCAGCUCUACGGAAGAUCCUUUAUUCUGUCUUAGGCCCCAGAUCUGCCAUGUGCUACCCUCCACUCUCAACAACAGCUCAUUCCCCUUCCUCAGCCAGAUGUUCCAUCAGGCUCGGAUUACCCAACAGAGAUGGGAGACUGGGGCUAGUCCUGCACAGCGUGCCUCCAGGGAAGCCCUGUGGCGAGAGACGAACCUGGCCCGACUUCCAUUCUGCUAGCUGGCGCCUGCCCUGUCGACCUCCAUGGUACAUGUGGGUCUCUGUCCUCAGCACUCCUCCUGCACACGUGCCCGAGUGCUAAGGCUUUCACUUCGCAGCGUAUUGCAAAUAUCUUUCAUUGAAAACAAACACUCAUCUUCAACGGAAUAAGUAACCUUCAGUUUAGUGUUCCAAUAUGUGGCGACAGCUCUUUUAGCCAGUCACUCUCAGCCGGCCAGUGUUCGACCUCUUCCCUGCAGCUUUGUCCCCGCUUAGCGUCUGUGAUGGUGAGUUUUCCCGGACCUCUCCCUGCCUCUCUGUUGCCUCUGUCUCCUCAGAACACACCUUCGCCUGCUCCCUCUGUCUGCCAGUGUGUUCUCCAAUGCCUUGCUUCCUUCUUUCCCGUGUUCUCACUCUCUCAGGGGCCCCAGGCGUGUGUGGGUUGUGCCUGCAGCUUCCUGGGAGUACCUAGGAUGUCCUAUCCUCCUCUCGUCCUCAACUCCUCCGCCACUGAGCUCCCGUGCCCAUUAUGAAGCCAGGAUUUCCAUCAGAGCCUUCCUUUUCUUCCUGCCUUCCGGGCGGGCCAUCCAGAAAUUUCACAUGCAGAUCAAUGAGAGACAGAAAGCCCCCAGUACAUGUGUGCUGAAUAAAUGAAUAAAUGCAGCCGCAGCCGAGAAGGACCUGUGCCUCGUGCACACGUUAGAUCUGUUCUUGCAGCGACUGCACUUGCUGUCCUCUGAAGCCUUGCGCCUCUGUUUUGAGCCUGCGCCCGCCAUCACCAUUCCAGUUACCAGAUCUGUUGUGUAGCCAGGGGUCUUGGUUCCCAGCAGCAGAAAUCACUCUGCUCAGCUUAAGCAGAGAACAAAGAGCGUGGAGCCGGGAAGACGUGGGAACCAAGGGUGCCAGGGUUAGAUUCCAGACAGACACGGAAGGUCCAGAUGCAGGCACAGCGUUCAUUCCCAUGGCCGUGCCACACGCAUUGCGCACCCCUGCUCCCUCCUGCCCGCUCACUGGCGGGUACGAGCUGCAGCCAGCGCUGCCUGCUGCUGAGGUCUUCCCUCAUCACUCUUGCCUGCGUCUCUUUCUUUUCUAUUUCCCAUUGCACCUUGUUUGUUUCUUCACAGAAGAAGCCCAUUUCUUAAGACAGGUCUUAUGCUUUUUAGACUCCCCCCCCUCCCACCAAGCUGGGCAGAUGCUCCUGCUGCGUCGCUCUCCAAGGUCUUCAUUGACCGAAGGCACAGGGGGGUGUGGCUGUAGACCCGUCCCUAGGUGAGGUCACGUGGCUAAUGACCCACCAGUGUUCAUCUUUCCUUCCUCCACGGCAGCAGAAAUGGAGCUGGGGCCGGGGGCCUCCCUUGUAGCUGGUUGUGACAUGUAGCUGUUUUCCUGAGGGCGAUGUCACUAGAAGCCUGUCUGAGUUUCCAGGGCUUCUGCAGCAAAGCCGCACCACCUGCAGCCUUAAACAACAGAAACGUCUGUUCUCCCCGCUCUGGAGGCUGGAAGCCUGAGACCACGGUGUCUACAGGGCUGGUUCCACUCCUCUCCUUCCUUACAGACAGCGCUUUCCCUGUGUCCUCACAGGGUCGCCCCGCUCUGUAUCUAUGUCCUAAUCUCCUCUCCUCGUGAGGACAUCACUCGCAGGGUCAGAGAUUAAUCAGUCGUACUGGCUUAGGGUUCACUCCUAUGACCUCAUUUAACUUAAUCGCCUCUUGAAAGCCCCCAUCUGCAAAUACAGUCCCAUUCUGAGGUCCUGGGGUGAGGAUUCAAUGUGUGAAUCUUGGGGGGGGCAAAGCACUAACAAAGCACUCUGCGUGAUUUCGUAUUGCUGGCCUGAGAGUUCUCCUGCCUGGAUUCCAGCUGCAGCCCUUCCUCCUGGCUGGAAGGGCAUCCACUGGGGUGGCCUCAGAAGCCACGGGGUCAAGACGGCAGAGGCUGUGUCCACUGAGCUCUGUCCACUACCCCCCAGCGGGGAUGCUCACCUCUGCCCGUCACUCGAGUGGGAAGUAUCUUCUUUGUUCCUUGAGCUGUGCUUUCGUAAAGGGGUCUCUUGUUAGAGGGGCUCCUCCUAGCCUAAUGAAAACACCAGGUGCAAAUCGAAUAGGGACGUGUUCACAGGAGGAGUGCAGCUCAGGGUAACUGAAUUCAUUACCUGCUAUUCUCUGAGUACGCUGGGCAAGGUAGAUGACAUUGUAAUGGCAAUGAUGCCCCCAAGCCAUCUGGGUCUCCAAUGAAUCCUGGAAAUAAAUUGAACUGGCGGGAGAACAUCAGAUGGAAGGAAGCUCCUGACAGGAGCAAUCACGGGUCUAUCGAAGCUUCCUGGAAAUGUGCUGAGUGUGAAGUUUUGUUUGCUCUUUUUCCCAUUCUCUUUUAAAAUAUGAUGUUAAAAUAUUUCGAUACAUAAAAAUAUAUGUAACAUGUAAGUUCCAAAACACGCUUAUUUAACAAACCCCCGGGAACCAACUUCUCAACUGAGGACUGAAAUGUAGCCAGUAGCUUGCGGGUACCUAGGAGUCCAUCCCUGUACCCCACCAGACGUGAUCAGGAUGACCGUGGCAGCACGAUUGUGUCCGCUGUGUGUCUGGACUAGUGAGUGUUUGCUGCUCCUGAAAGACCAUCAAUGUAACAAAGUUAACUUACAGCAAGAGGAACCUGAGGUGAGCGGUGUGGCUACUGGAAACACCGAGAGAAGACUUUGAUGAGGGCUGUGGAAUGGCAGGGAUGCACAGGGGCUUUAGAAUAAGAAGUUUGUGUGUUUUUAUUUAUACGCUUUCGGCUUCUAGAAAAGCGUGUUCAUCGUGCCUACCGUGCUUCUCCAGUGCGCUUCCGUUACUGCUGUGCAGAGCUGCUGACACGUCUUUCUUUUCUUUUUGCUGCUGCUUUCAAGAUGAGAGGUUUUUGCCUCCACUUUACGGCUCAAUUAAUGACGACAAUUAGAAAUUUUAGCGAUGCAAAGGAAAUGAGUAACUCUAUUGCCAUCUUUGAAAUUUCAUGUUAACUCUUGGGAAAGUGGAAUUCUCCUGAGACUUAGCUUCCCUUCCCUGAUGGUGUGUUGACUCACAUUUGCAAAUGCUUCACGGUUUGUAACACCAUUUCAAAUCCAUCACCUUAACGAGCAGACGUUUUGCAAAUAAAGCAGUAAUCUCGAGAAAUUACAUGAUGGACCCUAACGUAGUGAGAGUCAGGGAUUGGAGCCAGCAUCAAACGCACUCACCUCCGUGGUGUUUCCCCCCGGUGUUGGCCCCCAGUUGGAGUGCUUGGCCAGCAGGAAGCAUUCUGAUGUUCUGGGGCAGAGUUACCAGGGUCUUGUUGCUGCUGAAGAAAUGACUAUAAAUCAACAGGAGUUACUCUCUCAGUCUGGAGGCUGGAAGUCGAAAUCAUACCCAGAGUAGAACUGGAGGUGUCAGCAGGGCCGUGCUCCCUUGGGGGCUCCAGGAGAGAAUCCAUUCCCCGUCUUUUCUGCUUCUGGGUGCUGCUGGCAUUGCUGGGCUUGUGGCUGCAUCGCUCCAGUGUUCAAGGCCUGGAUCUUCAGAUCUCUCUCUGCCCCAUCUUCACAUGGCCUUCUUCUCUGUGUGGAUCUGUAUCAAAUUGCCCUCUGCCUCCCUCUUAGAAAGACCCAAGUAAUUGCAUCUCAGGCCCACCCAGAUAACCCCCCACCUGAAGAUCCCUACUUUAAUCAUAGUCUGCGAAGCCCCUAUUUACCACAUAAGGCAAUGCUCACAGGGUCCAGAGAUUAGGAUAUGGGUGUCUUUGGGGGAGAGGGAGAGCCACUACACAUAGCGAAUCAAUUUUUAAAAAAGCAAGUUACACAUUGUCAUCACAACAAUAGUCCUUAACAGCUAUUUUGAAAGUUGGGACUAUUUAAAAAGUUACUUUUCAUUUGGAAGUGAUAUUCGAAUACUUUAGAUUACCAAGGGCAAGAAGAUUGGAAAAAAUUAACUCUGGAUUCAGCUUUGAAAGCCUUGGGAGCCCGGGUUCGAUGAUACCAUCCUGCAGCUGCUCACCUGGCCGAGGGCCACACACCUUCCAGGUGCCAGAGAUGCCCGGGACACCCUGCUCCCUCCCGUCUAGUGGGCUCGCCUCCCAUCUAGAUACAUGCCUGGGGCGGCCUGAACUGGGGUCUGCUUGGCCUGAGCCCAUCAGCAGUGCCCACCCUGUCUCUGAGAAGGGAACUGGAGAGGCUUAGCGCAGGGUACCCAGUGAUCCUCCACGUGAUGCUGGCACCCAUCCUGUCCUCCCAGGGCAGAGGACGUUGGCCUGUGGGCUUUGCACCCAAGGCCUUGGAGAGGCAGGGAAUGGGAGGCGUGCUUAGGGAUCCCAUAGCGG
ensembl:lincRNA